UCCAGAGGAAGGAAGGAACCCUGAGCAAUAGCAGGACAGUGUCUGAUGAUUCUGGGAUGGAAUCCACAUGUAGGAUAACUUCCCAGCCCACAUUCUGAAAUACCACUUGAAAGAAGACUUUUACUCUUGAGCCUCCUGCUUCAGAAGGGACAGCCACACCCCGUUUCAAGGCUAUACACACACCCAGGAUUGACACAUCUCACCAUGCCCUGGGAGGAAUUCAGCACAAACUAGAAGAAACAGAAUGGCAAAGAGCUGUUUUGACUCCACCACAUGAAAUGUCUACUGGCAAGACUUCCAUCUUCCCUCAGAGUCCUGGAAUUGCGAGGCUGGAUAGGUGACAGCUGGGACGACUUGCUGCUCUUCCGGAGGACCAGAGUUUGGUUACCAGAACUCACUCUGU
rnacentral:sRNA from 1 species